AAAAUGUUUUGUCAGAGAGUAUUAGUCCCUUAAGCAUUUAUAGUUUGUAUAUCUUAUGUGGUUCGAUAUACUUAGUUCACUAUAAACAUUGCUCUGAUACCAAUCUGUCACACCCCCAAACCUGAACGGCGGAAACGUUCGGGGGCGGAUGACUUCAUGUGGUAACGUAACAAAUGAAUACAUAGUAAAGAAAGCAAUACAACCAUCAUAUAUAUAAUUGAAAGUUUACAUUUGUCAAAAGUUACAUGUUCAAAACCAAUUACAAUAUGAUGUCAAAAUAUGAGAUUAAACUGGCGCCGCAGCAUCUCUUCUUCAAAAGCAUAUUAGUACCUGAAAUUACUGAAUCCCUGGGACAUACAAGAAAUUUUGAAAGAGUAGAUCAGCAUUUAAGCUGGUGAGUUUCAUAAGUAUUAAAUGACAAUGUUUGUAUGAAAUGAAAUGUUUUGUCCUUGUUUGUUUGUUUCUAGAAAAUCCUAUAUUUUCUACUAGUAUAAAAGUAGCCUUCUCUCAAGACCAAUGUUUGUUUCUAAAAAUGUAUGUAAGUGUAAAAUAACCAAUAUGUUUGAAAACCUCGUAAAUCAAUGCAUUUUUAAUACCCCAUGUGAGUUUUAUAACCAUACUAUUGACUCGGAAUGCCUAUACACAACGUUCUUCAGGCGUUGGAAUGUUAUGACGUUUGUCACCCCAAAUGAUGGACUGUAGCUAACAGUCAAGGCGCGGGUUGUCAAGCCCGUAUAGAUCUAUACAGAAACACCAUGCUCCCCUUCCAGGGGAUUCUGGUAUAUAAUACAGGACUUGAAAUAUGUACUCGAACGUACGUUAAGUUAAUGUCUCACAAAUCGUGGUAUAAUAACAGAUUUACGUGUUAAAAUGUUCGUUUGUUCUUGUAUAUGAAAGUGACUUCUUGAAAAUCGUGUUUCUAGUAUGUAAAAGUUAUCAAUAUCCUCAUAAAACUAUACCUACUAUAGUUUUCUAAAAGUGUGUCUCGUUUGUUUAGAAAUAUUAUGAAAGUAUAGAUUUUCGUAGAACCUAAGAUAGACAAGUAUACAUAUAAUCUAAGAAAAUGUUUAGUUUAUACAUGCAUUACAACAAUUUAUAUUUCAAAAGAUAGAAUGCUAUUGUAACGUAUUUUAUAUACGAGAGUUCCCUAUAAAGUUUAUAAAUCACAUAUGAUUUGGUUAUAUAAAAGCAUAUAAAAAUUCUUUAUAUAACACACGAUGAUACUCGUGUGUUUUACUUGUAUUCCCCCCUUGAAAGCAUAUAAAAGCAUUUAUAGAACAUUUAAAAGGUUAAUUAAGGGGUAUGAACUCACUUGAAAGUUUGAAGAAAGCGAGAUGGAAACCGGGAAGAGUUUCGUCUCGGGAAACGGAUUUUUCUCGGGAUUCUUGGGAAUCUCGGGAGUAGAAAUGAUCUUCGGGACUUGAGCAAAAUGACCAGGGCUUCAGGUUAGAACGGGCAAGGAAAAUGAGGCAAGAACGCAAAGGAAAAGAGAGAAAUGGAGCCCUUUCUUCGGAACCCUCGCAUCCCUUUUAUAGGGACUGGGAACCGCCUCGGUACGCAGGGCGUACGCGUACGUCAUGUAUGACCGAGUCCACGACUGCCUCGGACUUCGGAUAGGACUUGCUAGCUUCGCAUAUACCGGGACGUGGAUGAUCUGAGGCCUAGGACUUGAGUAUGCAGGUCGUACGAGGGUACGCAGCGCGUACUUCAGCCCUAUCUCCUGACUCCCUUCGGAUAAUACCAAGAGUUUAUAAUUAAAUUUAUAUUUAAUUUAAUUAAUAAACUUCUAAAAUUCAUAUCUUCUUCAUAUGAAUUCCAUUUUUGAUGGUCUUUAUAUCCACGCGUAGGUGAGACUACGCUCUACAACUUUCGUUUAGACUCCGUCGGCAAAUUUUGAAAUUAUUUUUAUUAUUUAUUUUUAAAAGGGUCGUGUUUAAGGAAUUUCUCUAAAAAUUCAUAACUUCUUUAUCUGACGUCGGUUUUUGCCAGAUUUCUUUACUGCUGAAUUACCAUUGUUGAGACCUUCGAUUCUCGUUUAGGUCAUUCCGGCCAAAAGUCGCUCGAUCUCCGAUUUGAGUUUUUAGCUGACUGCUGCUAUGCCGAACUUGGAAAAAUCAUAACUUCAAUAAACGAAGUCGGAUUUGGGCGUUUGUUUACGUACGAUCACGGUUUAAUGACAUUAACCAUAGUAGGAAUUUAAAUAGAUACUUUUUGGACAUUUUAUUAUCAAAGUUAAUUUCAUUAACUCAAAGGUGGUUACAAUACUUGACUUUUCAGGUCAUUAGAAAGAGUUGAAAUAUCGGGUUGUCACAAGUACACACAGGGUUUCCAUCUUUAUGUUUCAUUGCCAGUAGGGCUUGAGUGAUCUUGAACUUUUCAAGUCUUCGAGCUUGUGGGUCAGGGAGAAUAAAUGGAGGAGGUGGAGGAAGUGAUGCAUGAUGUUAAGGGACAUCAUCUUCAAGAGGAAAUCUUUUUCCAAAUGAUUUGGGAAGAUCAUAGUUGUCUAAACUAGACAUCUAUAAUGAGAGAAAAUCAAGUUAGUUGAUUCAAGUCAUUAAUAUAACACCCAAUAUGAAAUAUUAAGUCUAGGAUCCAACACAAUAUUUUAUAACUUGGAAGAGGGAUGUCGUAAUGCAAGCUAUAAAAUAUUUGAAGGUAGGCGAAUGACGAUUCACCAAUUUCCACCAUGAAAAACGAAAUAAUUUAUUAGGUUUUAAUUGGAUUUGAAACUCCUAGAUCUUUUGAGAUUCAUUGAACUUUUCAAUGGCAUGUUUCAAUCUCAAUUGUGCCCUCUCAAGUUUUGUGACUAGGAUGUUGAGGAUCACAAAACAAGGUGUGAAUAACCAUUCAAAUUCACUUGGUACCCUUAAUAUUAUCACCUAAUCAAUGUGCCGGUUAACCACAGGCGCUCCACCGAUCUAUGAUAAACAUUAAGUCAUCCUUUGUGAUCCUUACUAGUCCAAGUUAGUGUGUCGGUUAACCACACACGCUCCACCAACGACUUGAUAAGGUACAAAGUUUGAAUUUCAUGGGUUAGAACCAUGUUCACAUUUUUCCUAAAGUAACCAAGAUUGGGAAUUAAAAAAUAUUUAGUUACUUUAUAAUAAUCAUUAUACUUUUAAUGAGAAUUUAAAUUCAUUGUCCUACCCGUUGAGCUAACGACCCUCCACCGAUCAAGGAAACGGUGGGUGAGAGUGGACACCCAUUAAGCUGCCAUUUUAUAGGCAACAACCUUAUACCCCCCUUAUAGACCAGCUUCGUGAAUGAGGCCUACUAAUGGUAAAACAACUUGUUCUUAUACAUAUAUAUAAUUAUUAACCGUUAAUCUUAUAAUAGUAUAAGGUUGAAUUUUAACUUUUAAAACUUCUAGGGUAUGGAACUAAAGUUUGUGUGAGACUUUACAAAUUCCAAAACUUGAGGGAAAGUUUUUAACAAUUCAAAAACUUUUGGAUAUUCAUAACUUAUGAAUUUUAAUUAAGCGUUUAAAACUUUUAAUGAAGAGUCUCUUGGAAAUCCAUAACUUGAGGACAAGUUAUGGAGUCCAUAAAAACAUUUAUUAGGAAAAACUCUUCAAAAAUGUAACUUCUAACUUCUUAAAAGAACUUUAAACGAAAAAGUUUUGGAAUUCCAUAACUUGAGGACAAAUUAUGAAUUCCAUUAAAACACAUUAAGAUCAAGAAUUAACUAACAAACAAUUUUUAAAUAAUUCCUUUGAUCUAAUAAAGCCAUAAGUUCAUGAACAUUCAUGAUCAACAACUUUCAAGAAUCAUACAAACAUAUAUAAACUUGAAACUUUGACUAUAACUUUGAAAUUGGUUCACCACAAUCAUUAACACAUCAAAAACAGGUUUUACAAGUUCAAAACAGUUUAUGGUAGUGAUUCUAGACCAAUUUCAGCCAAAACAGUCUAAUAUAUGCUGUCAGGGGGUCCAACUCGUCGAGUGCAUGAACAAACUCGACGAGUUGGAUGCAUUUUGCCUUGGACUCGUCGAGUCCCUUAAUGGACUCGGUGAUUCUGCUGUGCAAACAACAUAUAAACUUCUAUUUUCAACAAUUUGCAUCAAGUAUUUAAGAAAACAAGCCUAGUCUCUAAUACCACUGUUGGGUUAUGAGCAUUCUAAAAUUCCUAAAGUGUACAUGAAACCCUAAUAACCUUGGAUCUAUGUUUUCUCUAAAUACAUGCAAAUAAUGAUUUCCAAGGUUACUUCCUAACUAGCAUAGCAUAAGGAUCUUGAAUCAUAAAACUACUAGUAGAAAGUCAUACCUUUUAAUUAUGAUUGAUUGCUUGGAGUUUGAGAGCCUACCACCAAUAGUGUUAAUGACUCAAGUGGAAUUACAAAUCACCACAAACUUUAGAAACUUGAAAGAAUAGUAUAUUGCUUCUUGAAAUCGGCCACCCUUAGUUCGCACACCACUAGUUGUCAUUUCAAGCAUCACAAGCAUCUUUAUAUAGUGUGGAGGAUUAGGGUAAACCCUAAUAACCCAUGUCUUUUCCUUUCCAAGGAUCCAUGGGUUAAAAGCUCCAUGGAUCAUCCAUGGACCCCCAUACAAGCUUAGCCCAUUCCUAAUGAGUGUAAACCCACAUUAUAUAAAAUGCAAUAGCCCAUGUUUAAUUAGUCAUCUUUUUUAUCACUAAAUUAAUUCAUAAUUAAUUUAAGAUCAAUACUAAUUAAACAAUAUGAUUUCAUAUUAAUAUAUUAUAACUUAUAAUAUAUUAAUACAUCAUAAACAUACUAUUCUCAUAAGAUUAUCCAUAAUAAUUGUUCAGGUGAAGUGCAACCCAAAUGGACCAUGCCGGGUCGGGUCAAGUAUAUACCAAAUAAGUUAUGGACUUAAACACCUUAUCCAACAUUAACAUACUUACAGUAUAUUAUAAUUGGUUAAAUUGCAAAGUGGACAAUGUGACUAAAAGAGAUUCAUUAGUGACAUCUUUGUUGGAAUUCAAUUAUUGAUGGUCCUUAUGAUGGCUCUUAUGACUUUAUGGGUGAACUUACCUCGAGCAUGGAUCCCAAAUCACACAAGCUCACAAGACACAUACUCAGUAAAUACUAACACAUUUGAUAGUGGCUCAAAUGAAAAGACAUCAUAGUCAAUGUCAUAUCUAAAGACAAUCUUGUCGAUCCAUUCCAUAAGCCACUGUCAUUGAUUAAGUCUAACAGUCAGACAAAGUCAAGAGGCAUUAGAUUUGCAAAUGAAUUGGCUUGACUUGGCGAAUAUUAAGUGUAGAUCUUAAUAUAUGAUGGAAAUCAGUCAUUUCAAUUAGCUUAUUACAGUGUUCUCCUUUUUGUAUGUUUGGAACCCACUCUCUGAGUAUUAAUUUACUCAAACGUCCACAGUCGGUCAUACUCUUGGAAGUAAGUAGUGAUUCAAGAUUGUCAUGAGUAUUAGUGGAUUGUCCAUAAUGAUUGGACAUAGCAUAGAGAUUGUGCAAACACUCAUGAGUGCUUAAUAGAGAUUUAAGUAUUGGAACAACCUGUGCUUAGAGAUUACUUCAUGUAUCUAGUCACGAAUAAUUAUAAGAUGAUAAUAUCUUCUAUUCUUCAAACAUAGAUACAUGUGGGGUUUUGCUCUAUGAUUUUGUUAUGCAUUGUUCUACUAUAACAUUAUCCGUAACUGGUAGUUAUAAAGGGUAUGUCCAUGUAUGACAUGAUGAAAUAGACCAAAAUUAUGUAGUCGAAGUUUAUUCGUUCCUUCUUCCUUAACAUGAGAAGCGAUAUCUAUGGGCCCCUCGAUGAUUUGUUGUUGGCAUCGAAAGUGCAUGGCCAAGCCCUGACUAGAAUUAAUGUGUUCAAUUUAGUAGUCAGAUGCAGUCAUCACAAAUCUAUAUUGGGAAACAUAAUCUUGAAUUCUUGAGAUUGACCAUAAUCCAUGUCUCGAAUUCAUAUAUAUAUAUAUAUAUAUAUNUAUAUAUAUAUAUAUCAUAGAACAAAGGGAUAGUUGAUCAUUUAUCUAAGGGAAAAAUAUGGAUUAGAUCAAGAGUUAGGUAGUUGCAUUGGAUGACUAACUCUCUGUUGAUUAUUAGGGAAAUAUUAGUCCAUGUAAAGUUGAUGACUUGUCCAAGUGGGAGACUCUUGGAAUAGAGUCCAAGGUCAUUAACUAUUGGUAAUAUUUCUAAUAAUAACAUGGUCCUUUUGGGUUGCCCUCAAGACCCAAAUUGAGUAGAAUAAAUAAAGGAGAAAUUGGUUUAUUAAUUAUAAUGGUUAAUAAUUAAUUAGAAACUAAUUGGAAAUAUAUUUUAGGAAUUAAUUAAUAGUUUAAUUAAUUAAAGGGUUGAAUGUUCAUUAAUCUAUAGUUGGUUAACCAGGAAUGUUCUGUAACCCUUAUGGGAUACGGUUUGGUGAAAAUCACUCCAUCCCAUAUGGGAAAGGAGUGAAAUUUCAUGGUUAUGCCUCCAUCCCACAUGGGAAGGAGUAUUAAACCCUGGAAGGCAUCCAAGGCUAUAAAUAAGGCCUUAGGGAUUUCAUUCCUCCUUGCACCCUAUCUUGAAGUUUCGCCAACUCUUCUUCCUCCCCCUAUUAGGGAAGAUUUCUAACCCCUUUCGGUUUGGGAAACUGAGCGUUCUCCUAGAUAUUUUUAUUCCACUCUUUGGUUUCAUUGGGUGUGAUACCAUUAGAUGAAUUCUGGUUUGGGUCCUCUCAUCCAAGCAACUUCAUGGAGGAUCAAGAUCUCACGCACGGAGAUCAAGGGCUAUAUAAGAGGUAUGUCUUCUUCUUUGCUUUUAUGUUUUCUUGGGUUGAUGUAAUUAUCAUGAAGCCAUAUAUCCACAUGAUGCAUGCACACUUAGGUAUAUCGUAGUUUCGAUUCUUCCGCUGCCUAGUAUAGAGUGUAUUUGACGCAUAGAAAUCUCAACCCAUUGGGCACCUGAAAAACUCUAUUAUGAUACGUGUCAAUUUGUUUCCGGUGAGCACUUUUCGAUUUCUCCACUGCUAGUCAAAACUAAAAAUAGACGUAGGCAUCUUCCAUCUAUCUCUAUCGGUUAAGAGUGGGGUUACUUUGAAGAAAGAUAGGGUCUCCCCUUUUUCUUAUUUAGUUGAUAGUUAGUUUUUCGGUCAUGCCCCAUCUAAGAGCUUAUUCUUUGUAAGCCCUUAUAGAGUCAUAACCUAAUCUAAUCCAUAAUAAGUAUUAAGACAAGCAACCAACCUCUUCUUAGAUUUAGAAAGGGGCAGCGAAUGCUCGGACUUAUAAACUAGCAUCAUAUCCUGGACAUAUUCUUGCUACUAUUAGAUCCUUUAAUCGUAAAUAAACUAUGGCAAUUCCUUUAGCACCUCCCUCUAGGCCCGUAAAGAUAAGAGAAGAGCAAAUUCUUCCCAUCUAUGAAAUCAAAACUCCUGAGCAGCUUGCAUUAGUUGUCCUUCAAACGGUUCCUUCUUGGGUAGUAAUAGUGGAUUUGAUGGCACAUUGUGCAAUUCCCCAUCUGCAUAGGGCAUUCUUGCUAACAAAGGAGAGCGUUUCUAAGAGUGUUGGGAGAAACUAUUUCCUUUCCUAAUCUAAAAAGCUUUUAUCAAAAGGGUUUUUGGCCUCAAUUCCCAGUUUACUACUAUCAAAGCGACUUGCAUUUUCUUCCUCCCUUAUUUUGAUCCCUUACUACUUGAUACUAGGAGAAUCAAGACAAGUUGCUUGAUUGCUAGUUUUGAAAAUAUAGGGUCUUCAAGGAAAAGGUUAGGUGUUAGGGCUUUCUUAUAGUCUAGGGAUUGCAUUCCUUUUCAUAGCCCUAGCUACGCUACUAUAACUAGUUGUUAUGCUUCCUAUCAGAUAGUUCAGUUUGGUGGUGGAGAUAAAAAAUUUGAAUUUGGGUAGCAACUCCUCUUUCACAUUCAUAUUAUAGAAAGAAGGUUACUACAUUUAUAGAGGCAUACAAGUAUUCAGUUAUCACAAUAGUAAUAGCCCACAGAGCGAUAAUUCAGUGAUCCUUAACCAAUUGUGAUUCUGCACAUUAGAUCUUUUCUGGUAAUCUAAUAGUUUAUUGGUGGGUAGAGCCUACACAGGGGUAGAGGCCCAUGCUAGUAGCACUAGUGCUUGCCUUUGUCUUCAUUCAAUUUUGAGCUAAUCAUAGGGUAAAUAUCCAUAUCGUUGGCAAUCCCCAUAGAAAUCAAUGGUAUAAAGAGAUACUCCACCAACGAACGGGAAAAUCAUUAGAGUAGAAUAAAGGAAAUAGGAUUGGGAUGGAUUGUUUAAUGCCACAGCCGGAUGAGGCUAUGGAAUGAAUAGGUAUUUCCGUUUACUCACUCUUAGCCAGUUCCUUAAUUUCCACUAUAUGGUUGGCCUAAACUGGGCUAGACUAAUAUUAAAGACAAUAUAGCCCGUCCUCCAGAACGAAGUCUUCAUGGAAAAAGAUUAACGAUAGAAUCCCUUCACGUAAUGAAUCGUCUUGUGCAACCAAGUAUCCUCCAUAUAGUAGUAAGAAAAUAAGACUUGUCAUCUAUGUUAAUAAGAGUCGGAAGUAUUUAAAGUUGCCUCCUUAUGCCCGUUUUCUUGCUGAUCCUCAUGCAUUCCCGCCACAAAUAUUGUAAUCACCCUAAACCUUUACCAUACACUUCUUCCUUCUUUCUAUAGUAUUAUUGAACCCCAUAGAACACAGGCCCCUUUUUCACAGAGCAAUUUCAUCGGGCUAAUCAUUUACACAAAAUUUUCUACGUGGAGUCCCUCAAGCAGCCUGACACAUUGUGGAACCCCAGAGAACCCAACACUUCUACUACAUAGCAGCAACACAACUGUUCCAUCAAAGACAUAGUUCAAUAGAAGUUGGGGCUGGAGCAGGCUGAAUUUGCGAUUCUACUUUCCGAGAGAACAAGCGUUUAGUCACAUAUAUGUGUUGGAAGUCUUCAUCCGCCGAGCUCUGAAACCUGCCUUCAUUUCCUUACUGACUUAAAAAAAAGAUCAACCUGCCUCAAUACCUGCUGACUUAUUGGCCAUGUUACUGAGUUCCUAGAAAGGAACAAUAAAGGGGCUCCAUUAGUUAGCAGCAAGGGGUUGUGUCACACCCCCAAACCUGAACGGCGGAAACGUUCGGGGGAGGAUGACUUCAUGUGGUAACGUAACAAAUGAAUACAUAGUAAAGAAAGCAAUACAACCAUCAUAUAUAUAAUUGAAAGUUUACAUUUGUCAAAAGUUACAUGUUCAAAACCAAUUACAAUAUGAUGACAAAAUACGAGAAUAAACUGGCGCCGCAGCAUCCCUUUGUCAAAAGCAAAAUGAAUACCUGAAAUUACUGAUUUCCUGGGACAUACAAGAAAUUUUGAAAGAGUAGAUCAGCAUUUAAGCUGGUGAGUUUCAUAAGUAUUUAAGUGACAAUGUUUGUAUGAAAUGAAAUGUUUUGUCUUUGUUUGUUUGUGUUUAGAAAAUCCUAUAUUUUCUACUAGUAUAAAAGUAGCCUUCACUCAAGACCAAUGUUUGUUUCUAAAAUGUAUGUAAGUGUAAAAUAACCAAUGUGUUUGAAAACCUUGUAAAUCAAUGCAUUUUUAAUACCCCAUGUGAGUUUUAUAACCAUACUAUUGACUCGGAAUGCCUAUACACAACGUUCUUCAGGCGUUGGAAUGUUAUGACGUUUGUCACCCCAAACGGUGGACUGCAGCUAACAGUCAGGGCGCGGGUUGUCAAGCCCGUAUAGAUCUAUACACAAACACCAUGCUCCCCCUCCAAGGG
rnacentral:lncRNA from 1 species